rnacentral:lncRNA from 10 species
AUUCCCAUAAGCCCUGCACCCAGUUAUUUACUGUAUUAUUAGCAUCUUAUGUUAAUAUGGUAUGCUUGUCAAAAUCAAUGAGUCAAUACUGAUAUGUUAUUUAACUAAAGUCCAUAUAUUAUUCAAAUUUCCUUAAAUUUUACCUCGUACUUUUUCUGUUCCAGCAACCCAUCAGGAUCUCUCUUUUAUUUAUUUAUUUAUUUAUUUUUUUUGAGACAGAUUUUCUUGUUGCCCAGUUUGGAGUGCAAUGGUGUGAUCUUGGCUCAAAUGGUGUGAUUUCCACUCCUGGGUUCAAGAGAUUCUCCCUCCUCAGCCUCCCUAGUAGCUGGGAUUAUAGGCACCUGCCACCCUGCCCAGCUAAUUUUCUUUUUUCUUCUUUUUUUUUUUUUUUAGUGGAGAUGGGGUUUCACCAUGUUGGCCGGGCUGGCUUCGAACUCCUGACCUCAAGUGACCCACCUGCCUUGGCCUCCCAAAUUGCUGGGAUUACAGGCAUGAGCCACCAUGCCCAGCCCAGGCUCUCAUAUUGAUACUAACAUUUUUGAAGAGCCAAUUUAGUACCAGAUGCAUUUAUGUCAUCAUUUCAUUUAAUUUUCAUACAUAGUAUUUAGGUAGGCAUUAUUUUCUCAUUUUAAGAAUGACACAACUGAUAUCAGAGAGGGUAACUGACUUUCUCAGAGAAACUCAGAACCCAGGAAGUACUGAAGCAAUCAAUGAUUCAUAUCCAAGCCAUCUGGUCCCAACCCAUUUUUUUUCUUCUCGUAUCUUGCUAUCUUUCUCACUUGCAAUACAAUGAUCAAAUUUAUAUUUGAAACACGUAUUGCACAUAUAGUGUUGCAUUCACAUUUUGGAAAAUAGUUAUACAGGAGAUUCCUUACUUGCUUUAAUGCAAGUAGAAUUGUUUGUAAGACUUUCCAUCUGAUUUCUCACAGCCAGAGAGACUUAUCUGAGCUGCAGAAAUCUAAAGUACAGCUGCCAAAGAAUAAUUGGUCAUUGAAUGAUAGAUGACUUAUUGCUAUAAUAUGUUUAAUAAUGCCUUGUUAUUGAAGGUUCUAUAUUACAGAAGAUGCAUUUCAACUUCUAUUUCACUCAGAGGUGAUAUAAAAGAAUGUGAGCCAUAUUUUGGGUUGAGUCAUAUAUUAUUAGAGGUUUUUUGUCUAUUUUUUUCUGAGUUAACAAGGUUACUCACAAACAAUUCACACCAGAAACAAAACAUAUGGUCAUUGGAAAGGGAAUUCAUGGGACUUCUCACAAUCUUUAGUUAUUUACAUCAUACUUCAUUACAAUUCAGUUACAUGAAAUCCCCAUUCUAGAGUUUCAACUCUUCUCAAAUAUACAAUAUCAAUUGUCCUGUGGUUGACAGGAAAAUUGAGCUUUCAAAAAUCUUGAAUGUGCUGGAGAAAAAGGUGAAAAAUAAACACAAUAGGAUAAACAGCCAUUAUUUUAAGCAGAAUCUUUUUCUCUCACAACUGUAUUUCACCUGCUUAACACUAAUAAUUAAAAGGAUCUAAAAAUAGUCCUAUAGGAGCCAAAGGUUUCAGUAACAGAUUAGAAUUACUGGAUGUCCAUUUCUUGUGGUUAAUAACAGAUCUAUUGUGUUGACUUAAAACAUAAAAGGGUGAUUAUUCCCAACAGAUAUUUUCUUCUUUACGUUAAACACGGAAGUCUACAAAAAAAAAUACUGACUGUUCUUGGUAAGUAGAUUUUAAUUUGUAUCUAUAUAGUAUGCUUCUCACUUCAUUAGGCUUAGAAUUUGUGACUGAACAGCACUGUUUGGGCAGCCUGCUGCCUAGUUGGUGAUGUCAGAAGCAAUUACUUUCACAGAUUUAAGAUUUUGUCAUCACACAUAUCCUGUCUUUAGUUAUCUGAGUGGACAGCCCCAUCAAGGACAAUAUGUAUUUCAUCAUAUAUUUCUCGUGUCAUUUUAAAAACAGCUCAAGGAUCAUCCCCCUUUGCACAACAAGAAUGCAUCAGUUGGAUGAAUGGUUAAAUAGAGCCAUCCAAAUUCAGAAAUACACUUCUUUUCCUAAUUUCAAAUUAUUUCUGUAGAAUAAAUGUUGAGUACAUUUACCUGGUUUCUUUAUUUUGGCUCAUGGCCCCUGGAAGAAGGGGAUUGAUACCUCCUUUUUUUUUUAAUUUAUGGCAGAAACCUAGAAAUCAUCAUAGAUUUUAGCUUGGCCUUCCUCAUUCAAUUAGAGACCAAAUCUUGUGGAGUUUCUUCUUUGACAUGUAUCAUUUCACUAUUUCUUAAUAAGCUUCCACUCCUAGUUUAGUUUUUUUUUUUUUGCCUGAGCUAUUAUAAUAGUGUUCUUAUUGUUUUGCCUAAUUCUUUCCUUCACACAGUCACUGCAAAGAAAGGUUUUGAGAAAUGCAGAUUUGACCACAGUUUCCCUAAUUUUCAACCUUCCGAGAUUUCUUAUUGCCUUCAGGCACAAGUGCAAACUCUCUCCAUGACCUCACUUUUCAAAUGUCUUCUCCUGGGGGCAUGUAUACUCUGUAACAUCAGGCUGUUUCACACUUGCUUCUACCACGUCUGCAUCUUGUAUUUUCUGGGUCUUUGUCUCUUGAAGAACAAAUAAAUACACCUCCUUUAGGACUCAAUAUCAUGUCACACGCUUUCUGAGGAUUUUCCUGACCCAAUGGGACAAACAUAACUACUCUUUGUUCGGCUCCCUGUGUAUACCUCUUUCACAACCCUGUAAUAUAUUAUGAUACAAAUUGUCUACAGGUCUGUAGACUCCCUACAGAUUUAGCUUUUCGUAUUUAAGACGUGAAUCGUGUUUUUUUCUCUUUAGGCACACUGAUGUUUGAAAAUUCCUGAUGGUCUCAAAGAUCAGUAAAUGUGUGAGCCACUGUUACUGUGGCUAACCAUGUGCUUGGCUUAGGGCAGAGAUACUCAGACUUACUGAAUGUAAGAAUUGCCCAGAUGUUGGAUGAUAUUCAAAUUCUUGGAAUGCAUUCCCAGAAAUUUUGAUUCAAAAGCAAUGAGGAGGGAUCCAGAAAUCCAUUGUUUUCACAGGCACCCCAGGUACUUGUGACACAGGUGUAUGAGGAAUAAACAUUGAGAAACUGACUUUUCCAGUUAUCUAUUGUUGCGUAACCAACCACCCUCAGGGACAUAAACAAACUACUUGGAGGAAAUAGAAAACAACUGUUUAUUAUGCCCAUGGAUUCUGAAGUUCUGGAAUUUGUACAUGACACAGCAGGAAUGACUUGGCUUUGCCCUAUGAUGUCUGGGGAAGGAGGGAGACUCAGAUGUCUAGGGGGUACUUGAAUGGCUGAGGACUGGAAUAGAUGGGCUGUAGGAUCUCUCGUGUUAUAGUUUUCUUACUCACAUCCUUGAUUACUGGGCUGGGAUGAGUUAAAGACUGGGUUCAGCAGAGGUGGUCAACAAGAGCACCUACAUGUGGCUUGGACUUCUCAGCAUGGGAGCUGGGUUCUGAGAGGGAGCACUCCAAGAAAGAUCUUCACAUCACCAGUAUGAUGGAAUUGAAGCCCAAGAUUGGUAAUGUUAUGGAUUUGCAGAAAGAGCCAACAACUCCUACAGAUGAUGACAGUUCUCAUUCUCCAGCAGCAAAUAAUCCCAAAGGAGGUAAACAUCUAAAAGAAAGGAAUGAAAACAGGUUUUAUUUAUAAAUGCCUCACUGUUGGAACCUGCAUGAAUGAAAGCUGAAUCUCAAAGAUCAGACACGUUGGACUUGGAAUAAUGUCCAUGUUAUGAUUCCAAUCUGUGCCUAAAUCUGAACCACUCAGUUCUUCAUGCUUGUUGGAAUCCUCCUAAAAUUGGAAUUUCCUGGGAGAUAUCCAGUACUUUUUGGGCUGUAAACAGCAAAACAAACAGCCUUUCUUGUAAUAUGCUACGUCUAGUGCUAACUGAAUUCAAGAAGUUUAUGAGUGUGGGGAAAGUAACUUGAUGUCUUUGCAAACUUACAAAUUUGCUUCAGUUUAAAUUUUGACCAAAAAUUCAUCUCAGGAAUAUGUUUUGGAAUAAUUCUUUGCUAUUAGUUAUAAAUGUGACAAAUAUCGUUUAAACAAUAAAAUAUUAUUUUAUACAACAAAUUAUGGCAACAAAUUCCUUGUAGUGAUAGAUUUUUUAAAAUCUUUAAAUCAUAGAUAGGGAUUUAUUAUGCUCCAUGUCAAUUAUAUGCAUGUUUGUGUGUAUAUGUGUGUAUAUGUGUGUGUAUAUAUAUUUCACUUAAUCUCUGAGAACAGUCUGAAUUUUUAUGUUUCUCUAUUGUAUAUAAUUGAAAAACAUAAGACAAAGAAAUCACUUAUUAGUACGUUGAUAGAUAAACGUGCUUGAUGCCAAAUAUAGACACACAAAAUACACUUAAUUCUUCUGUAAGAACUCUUAAACAUCUAUGAGAAACAUCUUAUCAAAUUGAUUUCCCCCUUUCUCCUUAGUAAAAAAAUCCUGACGUUUUUAGGUUGACACAAUGCCACUCAGCUAAACAAUGACAUUUCCCAGACUCCUUUGUGUUUAAGUGUGGCCGUAUAACUAGGUUGUGCCCAAAGACAAUUAAGUAUAACUGUUGGGUAUAAUUUUUCUGAAAAGUCUCCUUAAAAAUAUGACGGUUUUUCCUUGCUUUCUUUUUUUCCUUGUUAUUUAGAGUACGAGUAUUGUAUCUGUAGCUCCAGCAGCCAUCUUGGACCAGAAUAUGAUGGUCUGGAGAAUGUAAGCCAUGUGCAGAAUGAUACUUACAGACAAGGGACUGUGUACUUCAUUGAACCGUAAAGCUGCCAUAGUUGCCUUGGAUACUCUCCUUGUGGACACCUUUUAUGUGCAAGAAAAAUAAACUAUCUUGUUUAAGCCAUUGUUAUUUGUGGAAUU